GACGAACGCUGGCGGCGUGCCUAACACAUGCAAGUCGAGCGGAGAUAUAUUGAAGAUUUAUCGGAUAUAUAUCUUAGCGGCGGACGGGUGAGUAACGCGUGGGUAACCUGCCUUAUACAGGGGGAUAACACAGGGAAACUUGUGCUAAUACCGCAUAAUAUCAUUGUAUGGCAUCAUAUGAUGAUCAAAGGAGCAAUCCGGUAUAGGAUGGACCCGCGUCCAAUUAGCUAGUUGGUGGUGUAACGGACCACCAAGGCGACGAUUGGUAGCCGAACUGAGAGGUUGAUCGGCCACAUUGGGACUGAGACACGGCCCAGACUCCUACGGGAGGCAGCAGUGGGGAAUAUUGCACAAUGGGGGAAACCCUGAUGCAGCAACGCCGCGUGAAGGAUGAAGGUUUUCGGAUCGUAAACUUCUUUGAUGAGGGACGAAUAAUGACGGUACCUCAAGAACAAGCCACGGCUAACUACGUGCCAGCAGCCGCGGUAA
rnacentral:rRNA from 1 species